rnacentral:rRNA from 1 species
AACGGACGCUGGCGGCAGGCUUAACACAUGCAAGUCGAGCGCAUCGCAAGGUGAGCGGCGGACGGGUUAGUAACGCGUGGGAACGUGCCCUUUUCUUCGGAAUAGCUUCGGGAAACUGAAGGUAAUACCGGAUACGCCCUUCGGGGGAAAGAUUUAUCGGGGAAGGAUCGGCCCGCGUCUGAUUAGGUAGUUGGUGGGGUAAUGGCCUACCAAGCCGACGAUCAGUAGCUGGUUUGAGAGGAUGAUCAGCAACACUGGGACUGAGACACGGCCCAGACUCCUACGGGAGGCAGCAGUGGGGAAUCUUAGACAAUGGGCGCAAGCCUGAUCUAGCCAUGCCGCGUGGAUGAUGAAGGCCUUAGGGUCGUAAAGUCCUUUCGCUGGGGAAGAUAAUGACGGUACCCAGUAAAGAAACCCCGGCUAACUCCGUGCCAGCCGCCGCCGUAAGAC